rnacentral:rRNA from 1 species
GACGAACGCUGGCGGCGUGCUUAACACAUGCAAGUCGAACGGAAAGGCCCUGCUUGCAGGGUACUCGAGUGGCGAACGGGUGAGUAACACGUGGGCGAUCUGCCCUGCACUUCGGGAUAAGCCUGGGAAACUGGGUCUAAUACCGGAUAUGACCUUCCAUGUAGUGUGGGGGGUGGAAAGAUUUAUCGGUGUGGGAUGAGCCCGCGGCCUAUCAGCUUGUUGGUGGGGUAAUGGCCUACCAAGGCGUCGACGGGUAGCCGGCCUGAGAGGGUGGACGGCCACAUUGGGACUGAGAUACGGCCCAGACUCCUACGGGAGGCAGCAGUGGGGAAUAUUGCACAAUGGGCGGAAGCCUUAUGCAGCGACGCCGCGUGGGGGAUGACGGCCUUCGGGUUGUAAACCUCUUUCGACAGGGACGAAGCUUCGGUGACGGUACCUGUAGAAGAAGCACCGGCUAACUACGUG